GACGAACGCUGGCGGCGCGCUUAACACAUGCAAGUCGAACGGAAAGGCCUGCUUUCCCUUGUGGAUUGCGGGUACUCGAGUGGCGAACGGGUGAGUAACACGUGAGUGAUCUGCCCCCAACUUGGGUAUAAGCCUGGGAAACUGGGUCUAAUUCCCGAUAGGACUGCAGGGUGGUGCCUGUGGUGGAAAACGAUUUUCUAGUGGUUGGGGAUGAGCUCGCGGCCUAUCAGCUUGUUGGUGGGGUAAUGGCCUACCAAGGCGGCGACGGGUAGCCGGCCUGGGAGGGUGGACGGCGACAUUGGGACUGAGAGACGGCCCAGACUCCUACGGGAGGCAGCAGUGGGGAAUAGUGCACAAUGGGCGGAAGCCUGAUGCAGCGACGCCGCGUGGGGGAUGACGGCCUUCGGGUUGUAAACUCCUUUCGACCGCGAGGAAGCCACCUGGUUGGAAGGGUGGUGACGGUAGUGGUAGAAGAAGCACCGGCUAACUACGUG
rnacentral:rRNA from 1 species